AUGAACGCUGGCGGCGUGCCUAAUCCCUGCAAGUCGAGCGCACAGACGAGGAGCUUGCUCCUCUGACGUUAGCGGCGGACGGGUGAGUAACACGUGGAUAACCUACCUAUAAGACUGGGAUAACUUCGGGAAACCGGAGCUAAUACCGGAUAAUAUAUUGAACCGCAUGGUUCAAUAGUGAAAGACGGUUUUGCUGUCACUUAUAGAUGGAUCCGCGCCGCAUUAGCUAGUUGGUAAGGUAACGGCUUACCAAGGCAACGAUGCGUAGCCGACCUGAGAGGGUGAUCGGCCACACUGGAACUGAGACACGGUCCAGACUCCUACGGGAGGCAGCAGUAGGGAAUCUUCCGCAAUGGGCGAAAGCCUGACGGAGCAACGCCGCGUGAGUGAUGAAGGUCUUCGGAUCGUAAAACUCUGUUAUUAGGGAAGAACAAAUGUGUAAGUAACUAUGCACGUCUUGACGGUACCUAAUCAGAAAGCCACGGCUAACUACGUG
rnacentral:rRNA from 1 species